rnacentral:rRNA from 1 species
UAUAAGAUCCCUCAAAGAUGAUGAGGUUAAUAGGUUCGAGGUGGAAGCAUGGUGACAUGUGGAGCUGACGAAUACUAAUCGAUCGAAGACUUAAUCAAA